AUAUCUGGCUCAGGGUCGGUUAACAUCCAUCAGACUGUGUUUKCGCGCAGCCUGCAUCGGGCUCCCGUUUGUUCCCAAACGGUGCCUCAGAGUAUACCGUGCGGAGUUUGCAACGACUCAACUCUUGGACCUUACAGUCUGGGUUGGCCUGUCUGCUUCCUGCACGCGUACGGCGCUGGCGCUCUUAAGCGCUCUCGUGCCACCCAAAACACCUU
rnacentral:misc_RNA from 1 species